rnacentral:rRNA from 1 species
GACGAACGCUGGCGGCGUGCCUAACACAUGCAAGUUGAGCGACGAACCAGGGCUUGCCCUGGGGCAAAGCAGCGAACGGGUGAGAAACACGUGGGUAACCUACCCCGAUAACCGGGACAACCCGAGGAAACUCGGGCUAAUACCGGAUGUGCUCACUGGACUUCGGUUCAGUGCGUAAAGGAAGCUUCGGCCUCCGUAUCGGGAGGGGCCCGCGGCCCAUUAGUUUGUUGGUGAGGUAACGGCUCACCAAGACCGCGAUGGGUAGCUGGUCUGAGAGGACGAUCAGCCACACUGGGACUGAGACACGGCCCAGACUCCUACGGGAGGCAGCAGUGGGGAAUCUUGCGCAAUGCGCGAAAGCGUGACGCAGCAACGCCGCGUGGGGGAAGAAGGCCUUCGGGUUGUAAACCCCUUUCAGGAGGGACGAAGGUUCGGCGGUGAAUAGCCGUCCGGACUGACGGUACCUCCACAAGAAGCCCCGGCUAACUACGUG